GACGAACGCUGGCGGCGUGCCUAACACAUGCAAGUCGAGCGGGGUUGAAGCGAGAGGUAACUCGAGUUUCUACCUAGCGGCGGACGGGUGAGUAACGCGUGGGCAACCUGCCUCAAGGUCUGGGAUAACAGCCCGAAAGGGCUGCUAAUACCGGGUAUGCUUGUGGCCUCGCAUGGGGCUAUGAGCAAAGGGGAAACCCGCCUUGAGAUGGGCCCGCGUCCCAUCAGCUAGUUGGUGAGGUAACAGCUCACCAAGGCGACGACGGGUAGCCGGCCUGAGAGGGUGACCGGCCACACUGGGACUGAGACACGGCCCAGACUCCUACGGGGGGCAGCAGUGGGGGAUCUUGCACAAUGGGCGAAAGCCUGAUGCAGCGACGCCGCGUGAGCGAAGAAGGCCUUCGGGUUGUAAAGCUCUGUCUGGAGGGACGAAGGAAGUGACGGUACCUCCGGAGGAAGCCACGGCUAACUACGUG
rnacentral:rRNA from 1 species